AUGCCUGACUUCUCUGGGGAAUUAGAGCUCCGUGGCCCCAAGGCUCAGAGGCUUGGUCUGCUGGGCCGGGUGUCCACCUCGGCUUCCCAAAGGUUGAUCCAGCUGGAGGGAAAUGUGGACAAUGGGGACGAGAAAGUGAGGCUGUCGGUGUCCCAGGCCCCGAACUGCCUCCAGGCCUCAGUGGCCCAAGAGCAAGGGAGCCAAGAGGAGAGCGUGGUGCUGCGGGCCUGUGCCCACCGGUGGACGGCUGAGGUAGAGGCCCUGCUCCAGGACAGUGGGCGGCCUGUCCAGCCCCUGGGGCGCUUGACCCUGCAGGCUGCCAACCAGAGCCUCCGCUUGGCCGCACUCGGCUGCCAGGGGACCCUGCUGGGCCACAUGGAGUCCCGGAUUGCUGCUCUCGGGUCCCAGGUGCAAGCUCGGCUGGAGGAGAAGAUCCGCAACUUGGACGCCUACGUGAGAAGGUUCCAGCGCCUGAUGCAGCCGACAGGCACCCUGGACAGUGCAGCAGGCCCCCUUCCGUGGCUGUCCCGGGAGGGCCUGGGGGCCGUGUGGGGGAGUGGCCGGGCGGUGGCCACACUGUGGGGCCAGAGCCAGGCCAGGCAGACGCUGAUACAACGUGUGCCGCUCUACCUGGAGAGGCUGCAGGAGGGGCUGGAGCAGCUGCGGAAUGAGCUGGAACGGCCCCUGGCCACGCUGAAGGACGCUUACUUGGAGGUGACACUGCGGCCCUUGGACGAGGUGUGGCGGGAGCGGGCCGAGGAGGCCAUGCAGUGGCUGCAGGCCUGGGUGUCCCGGAUGCCGGGGCCCUGGGUGUCCAGGCCCAUCGGGGCAGCACUAGAGUCCGUGAGGGGCGCCCUGGAGCUGGCCGCUGAGCAGAUGCUGUCUUGGAUGGAAGCUGUGAUCUCACAGGCACUGAGGAGGCUCUGCAAACCCUUGCUGGACCUGUACCGCUUCUCGGCCAGGGACCGCUCAGUGGUGGUGACGCUGCCGCUGCUGCCUGUGGGAGACGAGCCCCUGGAUGUGGCCCGCGUGACCAGCCACCUGGUGGAGGAGAAGCUGCUGCGGCCGCUCCGAGAGCUGUACAGGACCAGCAUGCUGGCUGGGUACCACCGGCUCAGACGCCACCUGCAGGGGAGCCCCUCUGGAUACCAUGCUGUGGUGGCUGGGGCCAGGCACGUGGUGACCUUUGACGGCCGGGUGUGGGGUCUCAGCACCCACUGUGGCAGCCUGCUGCUGGCCAGGGACUUCGCUCACGACACGUUCUCACUGACGCUGAGCCGGGCAGGCUCAGGGCUCACGUCCCUGACUGUAGCGCUGAACCGCAGCACCCUGGUCUUCUACCCCAGCCUGAAGACCUACAGGCUGUACAACAACUCCCUGCCUGGGGAGAGCUGUCUGGACCUGGUUUUGCCUCCGCCUCCUGCCAAGACCAGGAUCGAGCUGACCAGUGAGGACGGCGUCUCCAUCGCCUGUGACGUCCAAGCCGGCCUCUGCAGCCUGACUCUGGGCGUCUGGCAGCACGGCCUGUCCGCCGGCUUCCUGGGCACCAAUGACAAUGAGGCAGACAAUGAGCUGAUGCUGCCAGACGGCUCGGUGGCCAACAGCCUGGAGGAGUUCACGCUUGCCUGGCAGGUGGGUAGUGACUGCAGGGCCGUGGAGAAGACUCAGCUGGCAUGCCUAGGACAGAGCCCCACCUGCCAGGCUUUCUUCCAGGACCCCUACUCCAGCCUGGGGAACUGCUUCGGGGUGGUGGACCCCACACCCUUCCUCAACCUGUGCCUCCAGGACACCUGUGGCACCCAAGAGCUCCAAACUGCCUGCACCCUGGCGGCCACCUACAUUCACCUGUGUGCCCGGGGAUUCGUGCCCAUGGACCCUCCUCCACAGUGUGUUUGAGAUUUUGCCUGAGCCAGCACCAGGCUGCCAAGGAUUUCAGACUCACCUACCACAAACCCGUUCCAUCACCAAGGUCACAGUUCUUGUCUGGGGCAGAAUGACCAGCAUAAAAAAACAGGAAGCUCAGAGAAGAUCAGGAAAAAUACAGAUCCAGGAAAGAAGAGCCAUUAGUCAAUGAUUUCAAAAUGCUUUCUGGGAGCAGUAAAGCCCACACUGGUCUGGAUAAUUCUCCACCUUCCUCAGCACCUGCACUGUGGUCUAGGAGACAGCCCAACCCGCAGGACCCACCUCUGGAGGGAGAGAGCCAUGCCAGCAACUCUUCCUGUCCAAGAUGUUUAUUCACUCAUUCAGCUGCUGUCUCCAAAGCCUUUGCUGUAUGAGCCAGACUGCCCCAGGGUCUUUCUAGACCAGGACUGGCUUCCCCUGCCCUCUGCACAGGUCUCCCCUAAGGCCUGAGGCUCCUUGAGGGAAUUGAUGGUCCCAAAUCCCUUAAUCCCAAGGCUGGUUGGGUGCUUCCCUCUUUGGGUUAGAUCCUGACUCUCGGUCUCAUUGUUUCAGGGGGCACUUGAGAAGGGCCAGUGGAUGCUAUGGGCACCUGGGCACUCAGACCCCAAGUAUGCAGCCUUCAAAGCUGUUCACUUNNNNNNNNNNNNNNNGGGGAGGCUUUACCCUUGAGUUUUCAACUGAAAAAUAAAGCUGGCAGAAUCCAAGAAGGCAUCCAUUAGAUUGCUGGGGUCAGCCAUCCACUGGCGAGAUGCGGGGUGGGCCUUGAGUGGCUGUGAAACCUCCUGCCAGUAGGGGGCCCCCAGAGCCCUCUCGAAACUGAGUUCUAGUGUCCAGAUUCCAGAGUGACAGGUGAAGAAGUGUCAGCCUCGAGGAGUGGGGUGACCAGAAGGCCAGACGCGAGGCUCGGCUGUCCCUGGCCUCCCUGACCCACAGCAGGUGCUCAGUGAAGAUGAGAAGAAGGAACUCUAGAGACUCUUAGCGUUUUCCGGAGUGAAUGGGAAUGGGGAAGCCAGAACUGCCCGUUCCCAUACUCCGGAAGGAAGAGAGGGGGAAGGGGUGCCAUGACUGAGCUUGCACCGUGUUGCCAUGGCUACAACCAAAAGACCCCAGAGUCCAAGCACUGCUCUUUGAAAGAUGUUUGCUCUCUUCUCAGACCUUAUUAAUAACCUGAUGAGGGGUGGAUGAUCCCGUGUAAUGGAAGAAGCAGCAGGCUCAGGGAGCCCAGGGGGCUUACCCAAGGUCACACAGCUAGCAGACGGCCAGGCUGGCAUGAUCUGGGCCUGUCUGCCCCCAAGGCUGCCCAGCCUCCACCUUCCCUCUUCUGCUUUCACAUUAGCCUUGUGCCGCACACAGGUGCACCUCAUUUUACAGCACUUUGCAGAUACAGCGGGUUUUUUAACAGAUCAAAGGCAUGUGGCAACCCUGCAUCAAGGAACUCCAUCAGUACCUUUUCUAAGAGCACUGCUUGCUUCAUGUCUCUGUGUCACAUUUUGGUAAUUCUCAAAAUAUUUCAGACUUUUUCACUGUUAUUAUAUGUAUUAUGGUGACCUGUGAGCUUUGAUGUUACUAUGACAGCUAGUUAGCAUUUUUUAGCAAUAAAGUACUUAAUUGAGGGAUGCACAUUGUUUGUUUAGACACAAUGCUAUUGCACACUUAAUAGACUACUGUAUAGUAUAAACGUAGCUUUUAUACGUAGUAGGAAGCCAAAAACUUUGUGUGACUCUCUUGCGG
ensembl:lncRNA